rnacentral:rRNA from 1 species
AUGGACCAGCUCCCCAAGCUCGCGGCCAACUACGCGCCCCUCAGCCCGGUGGGCUUCCUGCCGCGCGCCAAUGCCGUCUACGGCGACCGCGCCUCCCUCGUCUACGGCCGCGUGCGCUUCACCUGGAGCCAGACCCACGAACGCUGCCGCCGCCUCGCCUCCUCCCUGCUCCUCACCCUCGGCGUCCGCAAGAACGACGUGGUCUCCGUGCUCGCGCCCAACGUGCCGGCCCUCUACGAGAUGCACUUCGCGGUGCCCAUGGCCGGCGCCGUCCUCAACACCGUCAACACCCGCCUCGACGCCGCCGCCGUCGCCGCCAUCCUGCGCCACGCCGAGGCCAAGCUCUUCUUCGUCGACUACGACUACGUGCGCCUCGCCAGCGACGCGCUCCAGCUGCUCGCUGCUGCCGGCGCGCCCGUCCCGCUCGUCUCCGUCAUCGACGACCUCGACCGCCCCACCGGCGUCCGCCUCGGCGAGCUCGAGUACGAGGCGCUCGUCGCGCACGGUGAUCCCACGGUGGAGCUCCCGCAGCUCCAGGACGAGUGGGACGCGGUGACGCUGAACUAUACCUCCGGCACCACGUCCGCGCCGAAAGGCGUGGUCUACAGCCACCGCGGCGCGUACCUGAGCACCACCAGUUUGCUCAUGUCCUGGGAGGUGGGCACCGAGCCGGUCUACCUCUGGACGCUCCCCAUGUUCCACUGCAACGGCUGGACCUUCACCUGGGGCAUGGCGGCCCGCGGCGGCGUCAACGUCUGCAUCCGCGAGAACCGCGCCACCGAGGUCUACCGUGCCAUCUCCCGCUACGGAGUCACCCACAUGUGCUGCGCGCCCGUCGUGUUCAACAUCCUGCUCGAGGGCGGCGACGCCACCGCGCGGCUCGCCAAGCCCGUCAACGUCCUCACCGGCGGCGCCCCGCCGCCGGCCGCGCUGCUGGAGCGCGUCGAGAAAAUCGGCUUCAACGUGACGCACGCCUACGGGCUCACCGAGGCCACGGGCCCCGCGCUGGCGUGCGAGUGGCGCGCCCAGUGGGACAACCUGCCGAUCUCGGAGCGCGCGCGGCUCAAGGCCCGGCAGGGCGUCAGCGUCCUGUCACUCGCUGACGCCGACGUCGUCACCGACGACGACACGAUGGUCAGGGUGCCCCGCGACGGGAAGACACUGGGCGAGAUCGUGCUCCGAGGCAGCAGCAUCAUGAAGGGAUACCUCAACAACCCGGAGGCGAACGCGCAGGCAUUCAGGGGUGGGUGGUUCAUGACGGGUGACGUCGGCGUGGUGCACCCGGACGGGUACAUCGAGAUCAAGGACAGGUCCAAGGACGUGAUCAUCUCCGGCGGCGAGAACAUCUGCAGCAAGGAGGUGGAGGAGGCGCUGUUCCGGCACCCGGCCGUGGCCGACGCGGCGGUGGUGGCCAUGCCGCACGCGCACUGGGGCGAGACGCCGUGCGCGUUCGUCGUGGCCAAGGACAAGGCGGCCGGGGUCUGCGAGGACGACGUGAUGGCGUUCUGCCGCAAGCGCAUGUCGCGCUUCAUGGUGCCCAAGAAGGUCGUGGUCUGGGACGUCCUCCCGAGGAACGCGCUCGGCAAGGUCGAGAAGGUGAAGCUACGGGAGGAGGCCCGGAAGCUGGUGCCGACCGUGGCAGUGGCGCCGCCGGCACAGAAGACGAAGGGGAAGGCGACGAAGGUCGGCGGCGGGCGGCGGGACGAGCACCCGGUGGAGCAAGUCAUGGCCAUGUCAAGGCUAUAG